rnacentral:rRNA from 1 species
UACGGAGGGUGCAAGCGUUAAUCGGAAUUACUGGGCGUAAAGGGUGCGUAGGUGGUGCAUUAAGUUAUCUGUGAAAUACCUGGGCUUAACCUGGGCAGGUCAGAUAAAACUGAUACACUCGAGUAUGGGAGAGGGUAGUGGAAUUUCCGGUGUAGCGGUGAAAUGCGUAGAGAUCGGAAGGAACACCAGUGGCGAAGGCGGCUACCUGGCCUAAUACUGACACUGAGGCACGAAAGCGUGGGGAGCAAACAGG